UGAAAGACGGCCAAAGCUUAUAGUAGAAAAUGAAACAAAAUGUCGGUAAAGAAAUGCAGAUUCAGAAUCUGGAAUUAAAUUUCAGUUAGUCGUCUCACGAAAACGGUAUGGUCCUAACCGAGUAGUUAAAUAAAUAUAUUAUGUUUAUUUUAUUUUAUGUUUUUAUGAAUAUAAUACAUUUAUCAUUAACUAUACAAAUGUGUAUAAAAACAUAACAUGUAUAAGAUGUAAUAGUUAUGUAGUAAAUAAAAUGGGAGAAAAUAGUUAAUAUUGUUUGAGUAUCUCAUAAGAUAGAGGAUUUUGAAACAGUAACGUUUGUAAUAAAAUAAACAUUGAAGAAAAUAGAGUGAGAGAAUUAUCCAGUUUUUUUUUCUUUCAUAUAUGUUUUUAAGGCUAG